rnacentral:rRNA from 1 species
UACGUAGGUGGCAAGCGUUGUCCGGAUUUAUUGGGUUUAAAGGGUGCGUAGGCGGCUUUGUAAGUCAGUGGUGAAAUACGGUAGCUCAACUAUCGAGGUGCCAUUGAUACUGCGGAGCUUGAGUACAGAUGAGGUAGGCGGAAUUGACGGUGUAGCGGUGAAAUGCAUUGAGAUCGGAAAGAACACCAACGGCGAAAGCACUCUGCUGGGCCGACACUGACACUGAGAGACGAAAGCUAGGGGAGCAAAUGGG